rnacentral:rRNA from 1 species
UACGGGGGGAGCAAGCGUUGUUCGGAUUUACUGGGCGUAAAGAGCGCGCAGGCGGUCGUUCAAGUCGAGUGUGAAAGCCCCCGGCUCAACUGGGGAGGGUCAUUCGAUACUGAUCGACUGGAAGGCAGGAGAGGGAAGCGGAAUUCCCGGUGUAGUGGUGAAAUGCGCAGAUAUCAGGAGGAACACCGGUGGCGAAGGCGGGUCUCUGGGCCGAAAUUGACGCUGAGGAGCGAAAGCGUGGGGAGCAAACAGG